rnacentral:rRNA from 1 species
UGGUUCGAUUAUGGCUCAGGAUGAACGCUAGCUACAGGCUUAACACAUGCAAGUCGAGGGGCAGCAUUUUAGUUUGCUUGCAAACUAAAGAUGGCGACCGGCGCACGGGUGAGUAACACGUAUCCAACCUGCCGAUAACUCGGGGAUAGCCUUUCGAAAGAAAGAUUAAUAUCCGAUAGUAUAUUAAAACCGCAUGGUUUUACUAUUAAAGAAUUUCGGUUAUCGAUGGGGAUGCGUUCCAUUAGUUUGUUGGCGGGGUAACGGCCCACCAAGACUACGAUGGAUAGGGGUUCUGAGAGGAAGGUCCCCCACAUUGGAACUGAGACACGGUCCAAACUCCUACGGGAGGCAGCAGUGAGGAAUAUUGGUCAAUGGACGAGAGUCUGAACCAGCCAAGUAGCGUGAAGGAUGACUGCCCUAUGGGUUGUAAACUUCUUUUAUAUGGGAAUAAAGUAUUCCACGUGUGGGAUUUUGUAUGUACCAUAUGAAUAAGGAUCGGCUAACUCCGUGCCAGCAGCCGCGGUAAUACGGAGGAUCCGAGCGUUAUCCGGAUUUAUUGGGUUUAAAGGGAGCGUAGGUGGAUUGUUAAGUCAGUUGUGAAAGUUUGCGGCUCAACCGUAAAAUUGCAGUUGAAACUGGCAGUCUUGAGUACAGUAGAGGUGGGCGGAAUUCGUGGUGUAGCGGUGAAAUGCUUAGAUAUCACGAAGAACUCCGAUUGCGAAGGCAGCUCACUAGACUGCAACUGACACUGAUGCUCGAAAGUGUGGGUAUCAAACAGGAUUAGAUACCCUGGUAGUCCACACAGUAAACGAUGAAUACUCGCUGUUUGCGAUAUACAGUAAGCGGCCAAGCGAAAGCAUUAAGUAUUCCACCUGGGGAGUACGCCGGCAACGGUGAAACUCAAAGGAAUUGACGGGGGCCCGCACAAGCGGAGGAACAUGUGGUUUAAUUCGAUGAUACGCGAGGAACCUUACCCGGGCUUAAAUUGCAUUUGAAUAAUCUGGAAACAGGUUAGCCGCAAGGCAAAUGUGAAGGUGCUGCAUGGUUGUCGUCAGCUCGUGCCGUGAGGUGUCGGCUUAAGUGCCAUAACGAGCGCAACCCUUAUCUUUAGUUACUAACAGGUCAUGCUGAGGACUCUAGAGAGACUGCCGUCGUAAGAUGUGAGGAAGGUGGGGAUGACGUCAAAUCAGCACGGCCCUUACGUCCGGGGCUACACACGUGUUACAAUGGGGGGUACAGAAGGCAGCUACCUGGCGACAGGAUGCUAAUCCCAAAAACCUCUCUCAGUUCGGAUCGAAGUCUGCAACCCGACUUCGUGAAGCUGGAUUCGCUAGUAAUCGCGCAUCAGCCAUGGCGCGGUGAAUACGUUCCCGGGCCUUGUACACACCGCCCGUCAAGCCAUGAAAGCCGGGGGUACCUGAAGUACGUAACCGCAAGGAGCGUCCUAGGGUAAAACUGGUAAUUGGGGCUAAGUCGUAACAAGGUAUCC